GAUGAAGAACUCAGCGAAAUGCGAUAAGUAGUGUGAAUUGCAGAAUUCAGUGAAUCAUCGAAUCUUUGAACGCACAUUGCGCCCUUUGGUAUUCCAAAGGGCAUGCCUGUUCGAGCGUCAUUUGUACCCUCAAGCUUUGCUUGGUGUUGGGCGUCUUGUCUCUAGCUUUGCUGGAGACUCGCCUUAAAGUAAUUGGCAGCCGGCCUACUGGUUUCGGAGCGCAGCACAAGUCGCACUCUCUAUCAGCAAAGGUCUAGCAUCCAUUAAGCCUUUUUUUCAACUUUUGACCUCGGAUCAGGUAGGGAUACCCGCUGAACUUAAGCAUAUCAUAAGCGGAGGA
rnacentral:misc_RNA from 1 species